CCGCUUGUCCAUAUAGAGCACAUGUAAUCAUAUGCACCCUAUAAAUAUGCUGCUUGCAUGUUGCAAUCUAUCGUGUGUGACCUCCUGCUUUCGACAGGUCAAUAAACGUGUUACCACUGCAGUAUCACGAGUGCAAAUGAGCUGAUUCUAAAAACGUAAAGGAAACCGAAUGUCGAAGAGGCAUCUUUUCCACAGGUGAAGUUACGGUGACUGUCCAAGCUAUCUCUCGCCACCGCAAGCAUGAAGCGCAACACCUUGCCUAUUAAC